rnacentral:rRNA from 1 species
AUGUUAAACUUGAUAAGGAGGCAUACAAACUGCGUGAAGCCAGCUCUAAAGGACCAGAAUAAGAAGGAUAUGAUGAAAUUUUGUUUGUCAAUGCUUGACGAGGCAACAACAGCAACACCAAGGCCUAAGUUCAAGACUAUGCAUAAUGUUGUCCAUAUUGACGAGAAGUGGUUCAACAUGACCAAGAAGAAUAGAACCUAUUAUCUGCUGGACGGGGAGGAAGAGCCUACAAGGCCUAUACAUGGCAACUUUAUUGGAAAGGUGAUGUUCUUGACGGCCGUUGCUAGGCCGAGGUGGGACAGUGAAGGAAACGUGACCUUCUCUGGGAAAAUCGGUAUCUGGCCAUUCGUGAAAGAAGUUCCUGCUCAAAGGAGAAGCGACAACAGGUCCAGAGGUACAAUAGAGACAAAAUCAAUAAAGGUCGACAGAAAAGUGAUGAGGGAGUUCCUGAUAGAGAAGGUCUUGCCAGCAAUACAAGCUGUUUGGCCUGAAGGCGAUGCUGGACAAACCAUCUACAUUCAGCAGGAUAAU